rnacentral:lncRNA from 10 species
ACGCCCGGCCAAGGGGCGGGCGUCACAUGGUGGGCGCUGUGGCUGCGGCUGCGGCUGCAGCGGCCCCAGGUGCAAACAGACUGCCGCCGAAUGUGAGCAGCGAGGCGAGGGGUCGAGGUAGCGAGGAGUCAGGGUGGCCCGCAGCAGGAAGACAGAAGGCGUGGAGACAGACUGGCGUUUUGCCUCAGAGGAAGAAGUGGGGUCCCCUCUCCCAUUCUGUGAGCAAGUGCCAGUUCCAGUGAUUCGUACUUUCAUGUCCGAGGUGGAAACCUUGGCCCGACGGUGAUGGACUGCACGACUUGCUGGACUCCCAAGUCCGAAGUUCCUGCGGCAGCGCUUGCUUUGUGGCGCCACCUGGAACAUAGAGAACGGUGGGGGUAAAUAAGGGGAGCCUGAAGUUUCUGCUCUGUGCUUGCGUGUUCGAAUCCCAUCGCUGAGACUUUCUUCUGCUUUGGAUCGCUUGUCCCAGGCUGACGCCGCGCUGCGACCUCUCCCCUCGUAGGAGCCUAACGCCAACCCCUGCGCCAGGCAGGGAUGGAAUCAUCAUUCUCAUUGUAUAGAUGGACACUGAGGCUCGAGAACGGAAACGACUUCUUUUGAGUUGGGUGCCUCUCCCCCCUUGCCAGGCAGCCGCCUUUCUCUGUUGCCAUAGCACAAAUCACAAGGGUAUUUAUGGAACAAAAGCUCAGACCGCUGAGAUGUUCACUCUGCACUUUCAGCAGCACUCACAUUGAGAUAUGAGAAGACUGCAACAAGGACAAAAGGGUUGUGCCACCUCCUUUGGAUGUGAAGAGGAUGUGCUGACACGUGUGCUCGGGAGCCAGACUUUGUGGCCUUGGGGAAAGGACUGAAUAUUUCUGUGCUUCGUCGUUUGCAUCUGUGGAAUGCAGGUGAUACUGAGCUCUUCCUUGUGGGAUUAUUGCCUGGAAAUACACCAUUAUAGGUUCAUC